rnacentral:pre_miRNA from 1 species
GACCUACUCCCUCCGUUCCUAAAUACUUGUCUUUCUAGGCAUUUCAACAAGUGACUACAUACGGAGCAAAAUGAGUGAAUCUACACUGCAUCCGUAUGUAGUAGUCAUUUGAAAUGUCUAGAAAGACAAGUAUUUAGGAACGGAGGGAGUACAAG